AGGCCUUAAACUAACUAAAUUGAAUAAUACCCUUUUAACCAUUCAACCCGUAAUUAAUACGUCCUAGAUCUAUAGCCCACUUCCUCUCCUUCAUUUUCAUUUUCACCCUCGUCCCCACAAUUACAUACAGAUCCAACCACAAGCAAUAGCUAAUCUUCCAAAUACCUAUGCAACAAUCUCACCUUAGUUCCUACAUCUCCACAGUAAACUUACUCCUUCCGCAGCAGUCGUCAACGUUGGAGGCGACAUAUGCGGAAACAUAUUUCCAAACAGCAAAUAAAAGGGCUCAUUGCACAGAGCAAAUGGAGGACAAAAUGGUUGCAAAGAAUUAAAAUUAAAUAUCUCCUGCCAUGAACAAUCGAAGAUGUGAAGAGCAUUGUGAUGAAUGAAAUAGGCGCUGAAAUUGAGUGGUUGGAAUUCCAAUACCCCUUCUCUUCAGAUCUACAAAUGGUGACUUGAAGCAGUAUGAAGGGAAGCGAACAAAGUAUCAACGGGAGCAAUUAAGGGAUUCCUUUCCAUAAUUAGUGCUUAUACAUUGUAAAUAUAACAUACCAUAGAUAGACUCAAAAUAGCGGUAAUUGAUAUAAAUUAGGACGUGAUUUGUACCCUAAUUUUCUAUUUAAUGGAAAGAAUCUCCACAAUGAGGGCAUCGAAUCAAAACAAUUGUCAUGGUAUCAGAGCCAACCUCAACUUCAUUGCUGAAUAUUUGAUUUCUUUUCAAUUCAACGUCUGCCUUUGGUGUGCUCAAACUUCGUUGCUCGGACUCCGUUCAUCACUCCAGCGUGUUCAAGCUUUCUACGCUAUUCUUGCUCUUGACUCGGGUUCGAUCGAGUUGUGGUUGGCACAUUCAUCAGUUUGUGCAGAACUUCUUCUAGUUAAUUUUGGGAAGUUGAAGUGUGCCAAAUUCUUCAUCAGGUUGUAGGCGAUCUUCGAUUGACAGAGGUGAGCAAUUUCACGUUCGUUGCUACGAUCUCUUGUUGUGCAAUUUGUGAUUUGGGUGUAGUGAAGAAGAAGAAUGUUGAUAUUUUAAGUGUGACUUGGGUGUGGUCUAGUGAACCAAGGAUAACAUUUGGGCCUUUAUUUUGGGCUUUUGGUUAUAUUGUUGUUAUUGGACAUUUUUUUGGUUUUGUCGGAAACUUUGAAGUUGUUGGUUUAUUUUGUGGCGGG
rnacentral:lncRNA from 1 species